CUGUGGUUACGUUAAUGCCCAGCCAGCCACCCCCGCCACUCACCCCUCCUGGCCCAGGCCUUGCUGACUCUGUGAUCUGGGGAGGUGGGAGGCCAGGCGAGCCUGACUCGAUCCGCCCACCUCAGCCUCCCAAAGUGCUGGGAUUACAGGCAUGAGCCACCACGCAUGGCCAACUCUCUCCCAUUUUAACACACUACUUUCUGACUACAAAAGUGGCAUGUACAAUGGGAAAUGUCAGAAUUAAAUACCCCAGGAAGACACUCAAAAGCCUCUGUGAUGCUCCCUCUGGUCCUGGUCCUGCGGUGUCGGCCUCUGGUCUCCCUCCUGGUGCGGCAUCCUUACCACUGCAGUAACUGGGAAGAAACGUUCCCCAUGCAUUGCUCUAAAUCCUGCUGGAUCUGGUUUUGGGGGUGCUGGGCUGCUGCCCAGGAGACUGGAAGGGGAGGAAGGCAUGUGCCCCUGAGGGCUUCGAAAGCACUCUGUGCCGUGAGGAUCCCACCUCCUGUGCUCCCAGAAAGUGGCUGGUAUUUUUCUGCUCCAGCAGGGAGCCCAGGUGAGGUUCUCUAG